rnacentral:tRNA from 1 species
AGUAGAAUGGCUGAGAAUUUAAGGUGAAAGAUUGUAAAUCUUUUAAGGAGUAAAACUCUUCUACUA